rnacentral:rRNA from 1 species
UCCGGUAGAUCCUGCCGGUCCCGACCGCUAUCGGGGUGGGGCUAAGCCAUGGGAGUCGUACGCCCCGCCGCUGCGGGGCGUGGCGGACGGCUGAGUAACACGUGGCUAACCUACCCUCGGGAGGGGGAUAACACCGGGAAACUGGUGCUAAUCCCCCAUAGAGGAGGGGGCCUGGAAGGGUCCCUCCUCGAAAAGGUGUGGCGGGGGUUAACGCUGCCGCACCGCCCGAGGAUGGGGCUACGGCCCAUUAGGUAGUUGGCGGGGUAACGGCCCGCCAAGCCGAUAAUGGGUAGGGGCCGUGAGAGCGGGAGCCCCCAGAUGGGCACUGAGACAAGGGCCCAGGCCCUACGGGGCGCACCAGGCGCGAAACCUCCGCAAUGCGGGAAACCGUGACGGGGCCACCCCGAGUGCCCCCUUACGGGGGCUUUUCCCCGCUGUAGGAAGGCGGGGGAAUAAGCGGGGGGCAAGUCUGGUGUCAGCCGCCGCGGUAAUACCAGCCCCGCGAGUGGUCGGGACGAUUAUUGGGCCUAAAGCGCCCGUAGCCGGCUCGACAAGUCUCCUCCUAAAUCCUCGGGCUCAACCCGAGGAUUGGAGGAGAUACUGUCGAGCUAGGGGGUGGGAGAGGCCGAGGGUACUCCCGGGGUAGGGGCGAAAUCCUAUAAUCCCGGGAGGACCACCAGUGGCGAAGGCGCUCGGCUGGAACACGCCCGACGGUGAGGGGCGAAAGCCGGGGGAGCGAACCGGAUUAGAUACCCGGGUAGUCCCGGCUGUAAACGAUGCGGGCUAGGUGUUGGGUGGGCCUAGAGCCCACCCAGUGCCGCAGGGAAGCCGUUAAGCCCGCCGCCUGGGGAGUACGGCCGCAAGGCUGAAACUCAAAGGAAUUGGCGGGGGAGCACCACAAGGGGUGGAUCCUGCGGUUCAAUUGGAGUCAACGCCGGG